GUUACAUCCACAACGUCUCCCCAAUCCAAACCAGCCAUGACAAUCUGCCAUAUUUCACAGCCACACUACAGCAAGAGGCAGACUAUCAUCCUGUGACCAUCUACGCACAUGAACAUGCUAAAAUAAACAACAUUCAAGUCAACAGAACCCUUGUACGAUUGCGCAAUCCUACAGUGAUCGAGUCUACUACGAAGCCGGCAGUACUGUCUGUGUUGGUGGAUUCCAACACGGACGUGGACGUCAUUGACAGCCUGUCGUUUCCACAUCAGCCAUAGCCGGUGACAGUUGACUGUGGACUAGAAACAUCAGGAGCAGAAGUCCAAAAUCCUUGGGCCCAAUAUCAGGUCCAAAUCCGUGUAAGGGCCUUUCACGAGGAGGGCCCGCAGCUUGUAAAGACUGAGGACCAGGACAUCGCUAUCAGUCCAUCAGUGGGGUCCGACACCACUGAAGGAGUCCACAUUACCACCUGGGAGGAUCUAAAGCUGGACCUGGGCCGCUGGUACGACCUCAACAACGUGUCGAUCCACGCCUACGAUUGUGCUCUUACUCUUUUGACGACCCACUCGACAAAAGCUGUGCCUGCAGAGAACCGAGCAAAGACACCGUUGGCUCCAGCAUUGGACGACCUAUAAAGGAGAGAUAAUCGGUGCCUUUGCAACAAUCACCCACACUUGUCCGCAACACCACACCCUCUUCAAGGUCAAUCCAGAGUUAAAAAAUGCUCUGUGCGCUCCCUGUGAAAUGCAUUAUAAAAACACCAAAUUGAGCAUAAAGUGUGAAGCCAUUAUAACGGUUGAACUUUCAGACAGUAGCAAAAAAGUGUGGAAAUUUGCCAAUGGCUGCCUUGCCAAAGUUGUGCCACCGAGGCUCUGGACGACCAAGGAAGACGUUAUCCAACACUUAUUGGAUUUGAACAUGGUCGAUUUCAAAGUUAGAAAUAAUGAAAUAAUAAGCUGCUCACCAUGUCCAAUUACCAGAGUCACAACAGCCCUCUAGCACUAUAUGGUCGGUUUUACAAAUGCAAGUCCUCUAUCCCGCUGCACUAGUUUGGGUUCUAUUGUGAGAACGGGAUUUCUUUUUCUUUUUUUUAUAUUUACAAUUAUUUGACCGAUGACAACAGAAAUACAAUCUGUGUUCAUUUUACUUUAAAUAA